rnacentral:lncRNA from 1 species
CCCUGAUCUCCCAAAAUUUGGUCAAGAUCUAAAGUUUAUUUUGCUGUACAACUCCUUUUUGUUGUUGUUGUUGUUUUACUUGCUUCCAACAAGGAAGGCAUCAUUUCCUGUUUCCAUGACGAUGGAAUGCAGGUUACUCCUUCAUGGAGUUUUAGCUUGCUCCCAGCAGAGAAGAUGAGUUCAAGUUUUUUCCUGCUUCUAGGAUGGUAGAAAGCAGUCUUCAGGCCAGGCGCAGUAACUCAUACCUGUAAUCUCAGCACUUUGGGAGGCUGAGGUGGGCAGAUUACCUGAGGUCAGGAGUUCGAAACCAGCCUGGACAACAUGAUGAAACUCCAUCUCAUCUAAAAAUACAAAGAUUAGCCAAGUGUGGUGGCACGCGCAUGUAGUUCCAGCUACUUGGGAGGCUGAGGCAUGAGAAUCACUUGAACCUGGCAGGCUGAAGUUGCAGAGAGCCAAGAUCACACCACUACACUCCAGCCUGGGAAACAGAGCUAGCCUCUGUCUCAAAAGAGAAAAAAAAAAGAAAGCAAUCUUCAGCCUGAGACCCAUCCCUAGGUGUGUAACAUUUAUCCUUGGAAAGAGCUUGCUUUCAGGACAACCCUAAAUGGAGAGAAAGGAUGUAACUACCUUCAUUUUCCUUCCAGUUGAAAUGCCAAAAUUCCACAUUAAUGGUGAAUAUGUUUUUAGGCUAAGUGAUGGAACCAGUGGAGAAGAAAAAAUUGGAACUGUAGGAGAAGGAGGAAAACUGAUGAAACAAGAACCUGAAGUAAAGAACUGAGUGGGCUCAAAAGGGCAAAAGGAGACUUCAGCAUUGGGCAAAAAGAGGUUCUCGUCUUUCUCAAAGGCAAAAAGUAAGAAGAGAUGUUGUGGUGUACACACCGCUCUUAAGCAAGUGAAAGCAUUCCUGCUUGCAAUUUACAGCAAUCUAUUAAUUCUCAGCAAAAAUGGAAAGUGGAUCAACAUCUUCCUCCACUAUUAAAAUAACAACAGAAAUACAAUCCUAUUGACUAUUUUUUUAUUUCUCUCUUACCGUGUGAAUGUCCCAGGUCUUUUGUAAAAAUUAUCUUUUGUUUGAAAGAUCUA